rnacentral:rRNA from 1 species
UACGGAGGGUGCAAGCGUUAUCCGGAUUUACUGGGUUUAAAGGGUGCGUAGGUGGGUCUGUAAGUCAGUGGUGAAAUCUCCGGGCUUAACCCGGAAACUGCCAUUGAUACUAUAGAUCUUGAAUAUCCUGGAGGUGAGCGGAAUAUGUCAUGUAGCGGUGAAAUGCUUAGAUAUGACAUAGAACACCAAUUGCGAAGGCAGCUCACUACGGGAUCAUUGACACUGAGGCACGAAAGCGUGGGGGAUCAAACAGG